GGCCUCGUAGCUCAGUUGGUUAGAGCGUUGGCUGUACCGAAGCUUCCCCUUGCUGGCGUGGGUUCAAAUCCCACCAAGGCCA
rnacentral:tRNA from 1 species